rnacentral:rRNA from 1 species
AAUGAACGCUGGCGGCAGGCCUAACACAUGCAAGUCGAACGAAGCCUUCGGGUUUAGUGGCGGACGGGUGAGUAACGCGUGGGAACAUGCCCAAAGGUACGGAAUAGCCCUGGGAAACUGGGAGUAAUACCGUAUGUGCCCUUCGGGGGAAAGAUUUAUCGCCUUUGGAUUGGCCCGCGUUGGAUUAGGUAGUUGGUGGGGUAAUGGCCUACCAAGCCGACGAUCCAUAGCUGGUUUGAGAGGAUGAUCAGCCACACUGGGACUGAGACACGGCCCAGACUCCUACGGGAGGCAGCAGUAGGGAAUUGUCGGCAAUGGGCGAAAGCCUGACCGCGCGACGCCGCGUGGAGGAAGAAGGG